UCAGGUUUCUUUCUUCUUCUUUUUUUUUAAAUCCAGGACUAAACGAGAGGAUGAGGAAGAGAAAAUAUAAAACCGAACGACUCAUUGAUUUUGUCGAGGCGGUGGCAGCGGUGACUGGAAACAUCUGUCGCCCGACACGGAGACGGUUUCCUCGACGGAGAGAGAGGAAAGCGAAGGAUGAAGAAGAAGAAGGCUGCGGGCUCCGGAGGAAGUGAGGGCCGGGGGGCUGGAGCUCCGACGUGGCAGCGCACGGAGGAGGAAGUUUACCCACAAAGCUGCACGCACCACCGGGCAGCUCUCUGGCUCUGCCCCCCGGAACUUCUCCUGCAGGAAUCCGCUCCAAGGCGCAGGCUUAAGCCACACUCAGUGAGCAGCACGUGGUCCUCCUAAACUUUGACACCGAGGAAGAGGAUGAAGUGCACAGAGCCAGCACUGUGAUUGGUUUAGUUAAGCAGCAUCCAUCUUUAUGUAUUUAUUUUCAAAUAAUUAUUAUGAUUUUAGUCUUCAAACUGAUCAUUUUUUCUGAAUGGGCUGUUUAAUUCUAUGGUGAUGAGAAUUAUAAAAGAUUUACUGUCACUUUGUAUUGUUUGUGUGCUGAACAUUGUGUCUAUGGUGCAGAGUGAAGUUAGAAAACUUUCAUCCUACCUAGUUUAUAAGCGAUGAGGAUU